AGAAUCAACGCUGGCGGCGUGCCUAACACAUGCAAGUCGCACGAGAAAGGGACUUCGGUCCUGAGUAAAGUGGCGCACGGGUGAGUAACACGUGACUAAUCUACCCUCGAGUGGGGAAUAACCUAGGGAAACCUGGGCUAAUACCGCAUAACACUUACGAGUCAAAGCAGCAAUGCGCUUGGGGAGGAGGUCGCGGCAGAUUAGUUAGUUGGCGGGGUAAUGGCCCACCAAGACGAUGAUCUGUAUCCGGCCUGAGAGGGCGCACGGACACACUGGAACUGAAACACGGUCCAGACUCCUACGGGAGGCAGCAGUGGGGAAUUUUGCGCAAUGGGGGAAACCCUGACGCAGCAACGCCGCGUGGAGGAUGAAGUCUCGUUGGGACGUAAACUCCUUUCGACAGGGACGAUAAUGACGGUACCUGUAGAAGAGCCCGGCUAACUUCGCGCCAGCAGCCGC
rnacentral:rRNA from 1 species